rnacentral:rRNA from 1 species
UGUCGGGGUAACGGCCCAACAAGCCAGUAAUCGGUACGGGUUGUGGGAGCAAGAGCCCGGAGUUGGAUUCUGAGACACGAAUCCAGGCCCUACGGGGCGCAGCAGGCGCGAAAACUUUACAAUGCGGGCAACCGUGAUAAGGGAACCUCGAGUGCCUGUAUAUGCAGGCUGUCUGGGUGUCUAAAACACACCUAAAGAAAGGGCCGGGCAAGACCGGUGCCAGCCGCCGCGGUAAUACCGGCGGCUCGAGUGGUGGCCACUUUUAUUGGGCUUAAAGCGUUCGUAGCUGGGUUGUUAAGUCUCUUGGGAAAUCUGACGGCUUAACCGUCAGGCGUCUAAGAGAUACUGGCAAUCUUGGAACCGGGAGAGGUGAGGGGUACUUCGGGGGUAGGAGUGAAAUCCUGUAAUCCUCGAGGGACCACCUGUGGCGAAGGCGCCUUACCAGAACGGCUUCGACAGUGAGGGACGAAAGCUGGGGGAGCAAACCGGAUUAGAU